GAUGAACGCUGGCGGCGUGCCUAAUACAUGCAAGUCGAGCGAACGGACGAGAAGCUUGCUUCUCUGAUGUUAGCGGCGGACGGGUGAGUAACACGUGGAUAACCUACCUAUAAGACUGGGAUAACUUCGGGAAACCGGAGCUAAUACCGGAUAAUAUUUUGAACCGCAUGGUUCAAAAGUGAAAGACGGUCUUGCUGUCACUUAUAGAUGGAUCCGCGCUGCAUUAGCUAGUUGGUAAGGUAACGGCUUACCAAGGCAACGAUGCAUAGCCGACCUGAGAGGGUGAUCGGCCACACUGGAACUGAGACACAGUCCAGACUCCUACGGGAGGCAGCAGUAGGGAAUCUUCCGCAAUGGGCGAAAGCCUGACGGAGCAACGCCGCGUGAGUGAUGAAGGUCUUCGGAUCGUAAAACUCUGUUAUUGGGGAAGAACAUAUGUGUAAGUAACUGUGCACAUCUUGACGGUACCUAAUCAGAAAGCCACGGCUAACUACGUG
rnacentral:rRNA from 1 species